GUAAGACAGCCAAUGACUUGAUUCCUCCUUCCUCCCUAUCCCUCUUCCACUUCCCCGAUCCCACUCCCAGCCUUUUACCCCAUAGUUUCCCAGUCAGCCCUUCUCCAGUGGGCUUUUACUUUUAAUUUGGCAGCUUGCUCUCUGAUUCUCCUUUGCCUUCCAUAAAGAAACCAUGACUAAACCAUUAGCACUCCAUUCUCCUCCCAGUGUCAACCUGCACCUGGGCCUUGUCUUUCACUUCUGCUAGUGCCAGUGGUAUUCACUCCAGUUAAUUUCUCAGGGUGACUCCAUUCCCGAGCCCUGGCUAUUUUACCUACCCUCCCUGUCACCUGUCCACCCUUGAAAUUCAUUCUUCUGAUGUAGCACGAACUGGGCUUAAUGCAGAUCCCUGCUUGUCUUCCCUAAGCGGCACGCCCCUUCUCCCUUACAGGGCCCUGAACAGCAGCGAGAAACACAGAAAGCUUUGGGCAGUUUGUUCUUGCUGAUCUAUUGUAUUAGAGGGUGGGACCAGGAGUAAAGCAGAAAUAGCUGGGAACAGUGAAACCUGUAUCUAAAUAAAUAAGCCAACGGCUAAGCUAACGAUAUUCCAUCUCUCAUGCGGAGUCACAGUUGGCCAGUGAAUAUUAGUUUACUUUUACUUGCUGCGUACUCACUGGUGGAGAAUGAGCAAGGCUUGGGUUGAGGAGAUGUAGGCAGAGGGGAACAUAAAGGCAAAGGGGGUGGAGAAUCUAUAAACCAGACAGACAGGCCUUAACUAUGCUGUGUUGUGCUCAUUUCCUGGCCCUGCUGAAUCAUCCCACCGCCACACAGGGAACAUGGUUGGGAUGUGAAGAGCUCCUUUAACAUGGCACAGAGUCUGGUGACUGGAAGGUCUAGAAGUAUAUCAGAGGAAAGGAAAAAUUAAUGGAUAAUGACCAGAUUUUACAUCCACCUAAUGGCUUGGAAUGUUCCAGUGCCAAGAGAAGGCCUUCUUGUCGCAUGUGAUUUCAUAAUAAUUAGGGCCAGCUGUGUCUGUGCGAAUCAGGUCAAGCCAGAUGCCAAACCCUAACUCAAACACUUACAGGAAGAUCCUCAUUGCCAGGAGCCUCAAACGUCCUGCAGAAAAUCAAAAAAAGAUCCCAGUCUCUUCAGUGGCACUCAACUUUUUCAAGUCACAAGAUGGAAGCGCUUUGGAAGAGGAGUAAAGGACCUGGACUCUGAUUCCAUGCCACCGCAAACUCGGGCAGGCACUUCAAAGCAGAGAGUCUCAUUUUCCACUUCUGAAAAACACAUGGUCUAGAUGAGCUCUAAGUCCUUUGCACUCAAUAAUUUCACAGUCUUUUUUAUUAUUAAUAUUAUUUUCAAUUGAAAAAUCAUAAUUGUAUAUUUAUGGGGUACAAUGUGAUGUUUUGAUAUAUGUAUUCAAUAAGGAAUUAUUAAAUCAAGAUAAUUAACAUAUCCAUCAUCUCACUUGCCUAUCAUUUAAAAAAAUUUGCCUA
rnacentral:lncRNA from 1 species